CUGCUCAUUAGCCUGACAAGUUCAGGUGCCCGCCUGAAGGAGGAGCAAGGAUGAUAAAAGGACACAAACUGAAGCCCACUGGAACUGGACCCCUCGGCUGACUGGACCUCUC